AGCAGCCGCGGUAAUUCCAGCUCCAAUAGCGUAUAUUAAAGUUGUUGCAGCUAAGAAGCUCGUAGUUGAAUUUCGGGAUCAAUAUGUUGGUCGUGCCUCGGUACGUACUGGCAUUAUCGAUUCCUACCUUCUGAAGAACCUUGAUGUCAUUAAUUUGGUGUCUUGGGGAAUCAGGACUGUUACUUUGAAAAAUUAGAGUGUUUAAAGCAGGCUCGCGCUUGAAUACAUUAGCAUGGAAUAAUGAAAUAGGACGUUUGAUUCUAUUUUGUUGGUUUCUAGGAUCGACGUAAUGAUUAAUAGGGAUAGUUGGGGGCAUUAGUAUUCAAUUGUCAGAGGUGAAAUUCUUGGAUUUAUUGAAGACUAACUACUGCGAAAGCAUUUGCCAAGGAUGUUUUCAUUAAUCAAGAACGAAAGUUAGGGGAUCGAAGACGAUCAGAUACCGUCGUAGUCUUAACCAUAAACUAUGCCGACUAGGGAUCGGAUGAUGUUAAUUUUUUAAUGACUCAUUCGGCGCCUUACG
rnacentral:misc_RNA from 1 species